rnacentral:sRNA from 1 species
GCUAUGCGCGAUUCGGGCGGGAUUUGAACCUGCUGCAGGUUCGAGUUGAGCGCAGCGAAACAGCGUUGCCGCUUGCGGCGACGACCCGAAGGGCGAGUCUCAGAAUGAGACGAGUCAUCCUGCACGACCCACCA